CUACGGGAGGCAGCAGUGAGGAAUUUUGCGCAAUGGGGGAAACCCUGACGCAGCGACGCCGCGUGGGUGAUGAAGGCCUUCGGGUCGUAAAGCCCUGUUGAGGGGGAAGAAACUUCCAGAAGAUAAUACCUUCUGGGAUUGACGGUACCCCUUGAGGAAGCACCGGCUAACUCCGUGCCAGCAGCCGCGGUAAUACGGGAGGGUGCGAGGCGUUGUUCGGAAUCACUGGGCGUAAAGCGGGUGUAGGCGGUAUGUUAAGUCAGGUGUGAAAGCCCACGGCUCAACCGGGGAAGUGCACUUGAAACUGGCAAACUUGAGUGCCGAAGAGGGAAGUGGAAUUCCUGGUGUAGGAGUGAAAUCCGUAGAUAUCAGGAGGAACACCGGUGGCGAAGGCGACUUCCUGGACGGUAACUGACGCUAAGACCCGAAAGCGUGGGGAGCAAACAGGAUUAGAUACCCCGGUAGUC
rnacentral:rRNA from 1 species